AUGAACAAACCCUCACAGGAAUACAUCAAUAUCACAAACGAACUCAUUUUCGGGCAACAACCAAAAGAAAGAAGUAAUGCUCAAAAUAUUGUCUCGAAAGGAAUACAAUGCAUACAAAAAACAUCGAUAUCACAAUCAAGAUUCCAACAUUCAAACUCAGCUCAAAAAGGACAAAACGUCAUCAAAAUCUCUUUUGAAAUGAUUCAAAUCAAAAAGCCACAAUAUUAA